rfam:Ictidomys tridecemlineatus contig081950, whole genome shotgun sequence.
GGGGUUGUGGCUCAGUGGUAGAGCUCUUGCCUGGCAUGCGUGAGGCACUAGGUUCGAUCCUCAUCACCA